UACGUAGGGUGCAAGCGUUGUCCGGAAUUAUUGGGCGUAAAAGAGCUUGUAGGCGGUUUGUCGCGUCUGCUGUGAAAUUUCGGGGCUCAACCCCGAACUUGCAGUGGGUACGGGCAGACUAGAGUGUGGUAGGGGAGACUGGAAUUCCUGGUGUAGCGGUGAAAUGCGCAGAUAUCAGGAGGAACACCGAUGGCGAAGGCAGGUCUCUGGGCCAUAACUGACGCUGAGGAGCGAAAAGCUGGGGGAGC
rnacentral:rRNA from 1 species